CCGACCGUGCCGCUCCAUUUCGCACGGGCAGUCGAACCGAACUGAACCGGGAUAGAGCAGAAAAAGAAGGCUAACCGGAGAGAAGGAGAAUUAUUGAAUGUAUGUACAAUGAGAGUCCCCGAUCGAAUCGGAGAGAAAAACUGCCCGUUCGUGUUUGUGUGUGCUCGUUUUCUCUUCUUCUUUGCAAAGACACGAACACGAACUGCGUUUAUGUUCUGUUUGGCUAUGGGGGGUUUUUGGGUUUCUGAUUUUUCUCUCUCUACUUUCUUUCACUUAACACUCACACACACACACACAUAUACACUUUCUCUCUCUCGUGUUUCAGUUUUCAAAGGCAUCGUUGUUUUUGCUGCUGCUGUUUGUUUGAUCUUUAUUUUAUUGUUAUUAUUAUUAUUUUCUAAUUUUCUUUUUUUUAAUUAAUGAAUUUUGUGUGCGGGUACCGAAGGUGUUCGUUUAUAUACGCGCCAAAUGGAGGGGAAAUUACCAGAAAUGGAGGGAGGAGAUGUUUAAUGACGAGAUUAUCCUCGAAUUGUGUUGUGUGAUUGGAGAGUGAAGUAUGUGACGUAUUUGUCCUUUCGUUAAGGCGUUAUUACAAAAAAGGUAAUGAUGGCAUUAAAUUUUCUUUUUCUUUUUUAUUUUGAAUUAAAAAUUUAAUUAAGUAAUGCUGAAGGGUGAAAAAGGUAGGUACAGGGUUAGCUCAACG
rnacentral:lncRNA from 1 species